rnacentral:rRNA from 1 species
AACGGGUGAAUAACGCGUGAGGAACCUGCCUCAAAGAGGGGGACAACAGUUGGAAACGACUGCUAAUACCGCAUAAGCCCACGGGUCGGCAUCGACCAGAGGGAAAAGGAGCAAUCCGCUUUGAGAUGGCCUCGCGUCCGAUUAGCUAGUUGGUGAGGUAAUGGCCCACCAAGGCGACGAUCGGUAGCCGGACUGAGAGGUUGAACGGCCACAUUGGGACUGAGACACGGCCCAGACUCCUACGGGAGGCAGCAGUGGGGAAUAUUGCACAAUGGGGGAAACCCUGAUGCAGCGACGCCGCGUGGAGGAAGAAGGUCUUCGGAUUGUAAACUCCUGUUGUUGAGGAAGAUAAUGACGGUACUCAACAAGGAAGUGACGGCUAACUACGUG